GGGGAAUUUCGAGUGCAAUGUUAUGCCGUUAGGUCUUUAUAAUCCUCCCUGUACGCACUGAAAGGAGUGAGGGUAUCUGCUCUUCAAGUGCAGAGGGGAGAACACAGCAGACACCGGUGUGCAAUGCUGGUGACAGAAGGAGAAUUGUGGCUGUAGACUUGAGUGUGGAAAUUCCUCAACUUCCCAUGUUUGUCACCAUUCUUUGUAAAACAUGACUGAGGAGGAGGCGGCGGAGGUGGAGGAGGAAGAGGAGGUGGUGGAGGACGGUGGUGGAGGAAUGAUAGGAUCAUUAGUGUUGGAGGAGACCUUCAAGUUUGGGCCACAAGUGAAGGCACAGAAAUCCCCAAUUCCUCCGCUGCCCCUCAGGGCAUUGCCUGAGUGCAGGUUCAGUGUUGGGGACAGCAUUUGUAAUUGAGGCAGGGGUUGGCAGGAUCAUCCUGUGUGAGGGACCCAAGACCCCAGCAAGG